rnacentral:misc_RNA from 1 species
GAUGAAGAACGCAGCGAAAUGCGAUACUUGGUGUGAAUUGCAGAAUCCCGUGAACCAUCGAGUCUUUGAACGCAAGUUGCGCCUCAAGCCAUUAGGUUGAGGGCACGUCUGCCUGGGCGUCACAUAUCGUUGCCUGAUGCCAGUUUCCUCGUGAUGGGUGACUGUGCAGGGCGAAUGAUGGCUUCCCGUGAGCAUUGUUGCCUCAUGGUUGGUUGAAAAUUGAGUCCUUGGUAGGGAGCGCCGUGAUAGAUGGUGGUUGAGUGACGAACGAGACCCAAUCAUGUGAGACCCCUACCGAAUUUGGCCUUCAUGACCCACAUGCGUCUUUGGAACGCUCAUGACGAGACCUCAGGUCAGGAGGGGCUACCCGCUGAGUUUAAGCAUAUCAAUAAGCGGAGGA